GCCUCUCGGGGCAUGUGCACGCCUGAGCCCUUUAAUCCACACACACCUGUGAACCAAUUGUAAGGGCCCCCUGAAAAGGGCCUUUACGUCUUAUUCAUCAACCCAUUGCAUGUCUCAGAAUGUAAACAUAUGUCCUCGCCUUAAAAAAGCGUUGAUAAACUUAUACAACUUUCAACAACGGAUCUCUUGGCUCUCGCAUCGAUGAAGAACGCAGCGAAAUGCGAUAAGUAAUGUGAAUUGCAGAUUUUCAGUGAAUCAUCGAAUCUUUGAACGCACCUUGCGCUCCUUGGUAUUCCGAGGAGCAUGCCUGUUUGAGUGUCAUUAAAUUCUCAACUCCGAUCGAUUUGUUUCGACCUCGGAGCUUGGACUUUGGAGCGUGCUGGCGUCGGUCGGCUCCUCUCAAAUGCAUCAGCGGAAUCUAACGUUUCGGACGUCAGUGUGAUAAUCACGUUGCGCUGUCGACCGAUCCUGAAAGCCCGCUCAUAAUGGUCUUCGGACAACUUCAUAUCAAAUUUGACCUCAAAUCAGGUAGGACUACCCGCUGAACUUAAGCAUAUCAAUAAAGCGGAGGAA
rnacentral:rRNA from 1 species